rnacentral:lncRNA from 1 species
CCGGUCCCCCGCCGUCCCCGCCGCGCGUCGGGACCGGGGUCCGGUGCGGAGAGCCCUUCGUCCCGGGACACGGGGCGCGGCCGGAAAGGCGGCCGCCCCCUCGCCCGUCACGCACCGCACGUUCGUGGGGCGCCUGGUGCUAAACCAUUCGUAGACGACCUGCUUCUGGGUCGGGGUUUCGUACGUAGCAGAGCAGCUCCCUCGCUGCGAUCUAUUGAAAGUCAGCCCUCGACACAAGGGUUUGUCGCUCCGGGCCGGCCGGCGGCACGGGCCCGGCCCGGGGCGGCGGCGGCGGUGGUGGUCCGUGCCACCGCCCCCCUCGCUCUUUUCCCUCCGCGGGCCCCGCCUCUACGUGGGCGGGCGGCGGUGUGUCCUCGGCCCCGGCCCCGGUCCUCGGGCGGUCGAGGGGACGCCGCCGUCCUCCGUGGGGCGGGGCGGAGGCUCGCGAGGGAGAAGGGGGGGGCGCCCCUGGCGGCGCCUCCCGGCCUCGGGGCGCCGCGCCCUCCUCCGCUUCCCCGCCGCGGGCCCUCGCCCGCGGGCCGGGACGGGGGGCGGGGGAGAGGCGUGGCGCGGGCGAGGGUCCGGGGGCGUCGCAGGGCGGCCACGCCGUCCCCCUUUCCCGGGGGGACGCGCGGGGCCGGGGGGCCGGUGGCGCGCGCCUGUCGCCGCUGUCGCACGCGUCCGCGCGCGUGUCCCCUUCCCUCUGCCCCGGGCGGUGGGGGGAAGGAGGAGGGCACGCGGGCGUCGGCGUGGCCCUUGCGCGCUCCCUUUCUUCCCCGGAGGCUCGGGUCGACCAGCCGUCCCGCCGGCACUUGGCCUCCGGAGGGCGACCGGGCCCGGUCGACCAGCCGUCCCGCCGGCACUUGGCCUCCGGAGGGCGACCGGCCCGGUCGACCAGCCGUCCCGCCGGCACUUGGCCUCCGGAGGGCGGCCGGCCCGGUCGACCAGCCGUCCCGCCGGCACUUGGCCUCCGGAGGGCGACCGGGCCCGGUCGACCAGCCGUCCCGCCGGCACUUGGCCUCCGGAGGGCGACCGGCCCGGUCGACCAGCCGUCCCG